UCUCCGUAGGUGAACCUGCGGAGGGAUCAUUACCGAGCGAGGGCCCCCGGCCCGACCUCCAACCCUUUGUGUUUCUGACUGUGUUGCCUCGGGGGCGACCCGGCCCUCUGGGCGUCGGGGCCCCCGGUGGCUCACACCUCAACUCUUGCAUCUGUGCGUCUGAGUAACAUAUUGAAUCAAUCAAAACUUUCAACAACGGAUCUCUUGGUUCUGGCAUCGAUGAAGAACGCAGC
rnacentral:misc_RNA from 1 species